CAAGUACGGAAGCUGCAGAUACUCAUUUCGCGUCUUUCUAUUGAGAGACGCAUUCCUGUGGCUUGCCACUGCCUUUUUUGAUUUCUUGCACAUCGUAGCUGUGUGUGUGGCGUGACAUUUGUUCCUCUGCGGCAUGGCUGUUACUGGUUUCGCUUCCGUGUUUCGCCCGUUCUUUUCAGACGCGAAGUCGUCGAAUUUUUCUCGAUGUUCGCAGUACGUACGUGUCAUAAAAAGCUACCGAUUACGCACUAACUGGCAGGCAGUUUCCCCACGUUUUCCGCAAACAAGUAGGCUUUUACCUUCUUUUGUUGUCAAAAUUUGUCUGUCUGUUGCGUCAGAAUGUAGGUCCUUUGUCACGGCCGCUCGUGGACCCUGAACCUCUCAGCAGAAAGAGAUCUGUGUUGCCCUUCAGCGGCAGUGAUCGCCACGGUAGUCGGCCAUUGCUUUUGUGCUCACUACAUGUUGAAUGAGCAAAUGAAGAUUCUGGUGUUUUUCUAUCUGUGACCAGGCCGUAAGGCUCCGUGCUAUUCAGAGGGCAGGCUUGUGGGCAGAACAUGAGCUUGCGUAGGGACCCUUCACAUUUCUGGGUGGAGCGGAGGCAACCGUUCAUGAAGUCACUGACUUGCCAUCAGCGCUCCGAAAUACCACUUGGAGGCAGGAGUGAUUACAGGACAGGUGCGACGAUUCACAGUCUCUAAAAGUUGUGCUAAGCUGUCUGUCUUCUUUUCCUCAGACUGGAAACUAAUCGACCUUGGACUGACGUCGUGGACCCCGUUGAAGCAAACGGGAGUCCGCAAGGGCGGUACCGUCAAGUAGCAUCACAGCCCCUGUAUAAGAUAGUCCCGCGUUCCGAUCGCGGCACCCUUGAGAGCUUUACGAACUCAUUCAAGCCAUGAACAGCUACAGAACCAUGACUGGUUGUGGCGGCUGUUCCUUCCAGUGGAUGAGAAAUUGCUGUCAAUCCGUCGAGGAGGGAAUGCAUCAUUGCCUGUCCGGGUCAAUCACAAACGAGGCACCGCAUGUUUUCCAUGCCUCACCUAUGUCAUCUCAUGCAGCGUUUGUUGUAAAAACCUUUCCAUGCGUGUGUAGUAUAGAUCUCCGUCUGUAGUUUAGUCAGUUGUCUUGCGCUGAAGCAUUCCCGUGUGCCACAUAUUGGCUGUAGACUUUUUAUUCGAACCCAUAGUUCCGCACGCCCCUGAAAACAUUCCACCCGUCGCCUGUUUGGAACCACCUGGAUUCCCCAUCACGCGCUGGUCUCACGCCACUGCGGAACUCAUGAAAAGACGAUAUGACGCCCCGUUACUAAGGAAAUAUUGUAGCAGUAUAAUCGAGGCAACUCCAACGUUCUGGAGAUGAGGUUGCAGGUUGCGGUUUUUUGGGAGAACCCAUGGGUCGACGACUGCCUCACUCAAGUCGAUAGUCGCAUAAGGAGCAAAUAGAUGCCACCAGUGUAUAUCGACUAAUGCAGCGGACCAGCUGCAGGCGGCUGACGUCACUUCCGAAGGACUUUGAAAUCGGAACUCACACUGGACUCUGGCUACCUGUCAUGUCUUUGGCUAAAAGAUGGUACGCUUUGUUGCCCCGGAACCUGAUUUAGACCAUAUCGCGAGGGGACUAACAAGCAGAUUGCACGGUGGCGUAACAGCAACAGUUUGGAUCCCUUCAGACUCUCCAGCCGGUUCAUUCUGCUUGUCGAUCUGGGUAUGUGUGUGUGUCCCCCUCAUACGCCAGCUU
rnacentral:lncRNA from 1 species